GUGAUGAGGAACAGGUGUGUGUAAUGAUAGGAAGUAUGGGGUGAUGUGAUGAGGAACAGGUGUGUGUAAUGAUAUGAAGUAUGGGGUGAUGUGAUGAGGAACAGGUGUGUUUAAUGAUGGGAAGUAUGGGGUGAUGUGAUGAGGAACAGGUGUGUUUAAUGAUGGGAAGUAUGGGGUGAUGUGAUGAGGAACAGGUGUGUGUAAUGAUGGGAAGUAUGGGGUGAUGUGAUGAGGAACUGGUGUGUUUAAUGAUGGGAAGUAUGGGGUGAUGUGAUGAGGAACUGGUGUGUGUAAUGAUGGGAAGUAUGGGGUGAUGUGAUGAGGAACAGGUGUGUUUAAUGAUGGGAAGUAUGGGGUGAUGUGAUGAGGAACAGGUGUGUGUAAUGAU
ensembl:lncRNA